rnacentral:tRNA from 1 species
GGGGAUAUGGCUCAGUGGUAGAGCGCUUGCCUAGGAAGCGCAAGGCCCUGGGUUCGGUCCCCAGCUCCG